rnacentral:rRNA from 1 species
UACGUAGGGUCCGAGCGUUGUCCGGAAUUAUUGGGCGUAAAGGGCUCGUAGGCGGUUUGUCGCGUCGGGCGUGAAAACUCAGGGCUCAACCCUGAGCGUGCUUCCGAUACGGGCAGACUAGAGGUAUGCAGGGGAGAACGGAAUUCCUGGUGUAGCGGUGAAAUGCGCAGAUAUCAGGAGGAACACCGGUGGCGAAGGCGGUUCUCUGGGCAUGAUCUGACGCUGAGGAGCGAAAGUGUGGGGAGCGAACAGG